UACAGAGGUCUCAAGCGUUGUUCGGAUUCAUUGGGCGUAAAGGGCGCGUAGGCGGCUCGGUAAGUAGGGGGUGAAAUCCUGCGGCUCAACCGCAGGGCUGCCUUCUAAACUGUCGAGCUCGAGCACGGUAGAGGCAGAUGGAAUUCCCGGUGUAGCGGUGGAAUGCGUAGAGAUCGGGGAAGAACAUCAGUGGCGAAGGCGGUCUGCUGGGCCGUUGCUGACGCUGAGGCGCGACACGUGGGGGAGCAAACAGG
rnacentral:rRNA from 1 species